rnacentral:rRNA from 1 species
AUUGAACGCUGGCGGCAGGCCUAACACAUGCGAGUCGAACGGUAACAGGAAGACGCUUGCUUCUUUGCUGACGAGUGGCGGACGGGUGAGUAAUGUCUGGGAAACUGCCUGAUGGAGGGGGAUAACUACUGGAAACGGUAGCUAAUACCGCAUAACGUCGCAAGACCAAAGAGGGGGACCUUCGGGCCUCUUGCCAUCGGAUGUGCCCAGAUGGGAUUAGCUAGUAGGUGGGGUAACGGCUCACCUAGGCGACGAUCCCUAGCUGGUCUGAGAGGAUGACCAGCCACACUGGAACUGAGACACGGUCCAGACUCCUACGGGAGGCAGCAGUGGGGAAUAUUGCACAAUGGGCGCAAGCCUGAUGCAGCCAUGCCGCGUGUAUGAAGAAGGCCUUCGGGUUGUAAAGUACUUUCAGCGGGGAGGAAGGGAGUAAAGUUAAUACCUUUGCUCAUUGACGUUACCCGCAGAAGAAGCACCGGCUAACUCCGUG